GACGAACGCUGGCGGCGUGCUUAACACAUGCAAGUCGAGCGGUAAGGCCCUUUCGGGGGUACACGAGCGGCGAACGGGUGAGUAACACGUGGGUGACCUGCCCUCAGCUCUGGGAUAAGCCUGGGAAACCGGGUCUAAUACUGGAUAUGACUCCAUGACGCAUGUUGUGGGGUGGAAAGCCUUGUGCGGCUGAGGAUGGGCCCGCGGCCUAUCAGCUUGUUGGUGGGGUGANGGCCUACCAAGGCGACGACGGGUAGCCGGCCUGAGAGGGCGACCGGCCACACUGGGACUGAGACACGGCCCAGACUCCUACGGGAGGCAGCAGUGGGGAAUAUUGGACAAUGGGCGCAAGCCUGAUCCAGCCAUGCCGCGUGAGUGAUGAAGGCC
rnacentral:rRNA from 1 species